rnacentral:rRNA from 1 species
GGUUUAAUUCGAUGAUACGCGAGGAACCUUACCCGGGCUUGAACUGCAGGAGAACGAUUCAGAGAUGAUGAGGUCCUUUCGGGACUCCUGUGGAGGUGCUGCAUGGUUGUCGUCAGCUCGUGCCGUGAGGUGUCGGCUUAAGUGCCAUAACGAGCGCAACCCCUCUCCGUAGUUGCCAUCGGGUGAUGCCGGGCACUCUGCGGACACUGCCACCGUAAGGUGUGA